ACGAACGCUGGCGGCGUGCUUAACACAUGCAAGUCGAGCGGUAAGGCUCCUUCGGGAGUACACGAGCGGCGAACUGGUGAGUAACACGUAAGCAAUCUGCCCUUCUCAUCGGAAUAACCACUGGAAACGGUGGCUAAUGCCGAAUAUGACCUCGGAUCACAUGUUCUGAGGUGGAAAGCUCCGGCGGAGAAGGAUGAGCUUGCGGCCUAUCAGCUUGUUGGUGAGGUAAUGGCUCACCAAGGCGAUGACGGGUAGCCGGCCUGGGAGGGUGACCGGCCACACUGGGACUGAGACACGGCCCAGACUCCUACGGGAGGCAGCAGUGGGGAAUAUUGGACAAUGGGCGAAAGCCUGAUCCAGCAACGCCGCGUGAGGGAUGACGGCCUUCGGGUUGUAAACCUCUUUCAGCAGGGACGAAGCGAAAGUGACGGUACCUGCAGAAGAAGGACCGGCCAACUACGU
rnacentral:rRNA from 1 species